AAAGUUGGAUGGGGUGUCUAAAUAUUUCCAACAGGACGAGGGAGAAUUAACCCUCAAGUGAUGCAGGUAAUUAUCCAGUCAGUUCUGCAUUGCUACCGUAGUU
rfam:Rhizobiales bacterium TMED29 20798, whole genome shotgun sequence.